GGCGCUAUAGCCAAGUGGUUACGGCGACAGAUUCGAAUACUUUGUUCAAUAUCUGUUCCUCUUUGAGGGCGCAAGUUCAAAUCUUGCUGGCGUCG